rnacentral:rRNA from 1 species
UACGUAGGGGGCUAGCGUUGUCCGGAUUUAUUGGGCGUAAAGAGCGUGUAGGCGGCCAGGUAGGUCUGCUGUGAAAACUCGAGGCUCAACCUCGAGACGUCGGCGGAAACCAUCUGGCUAGAGUCCGGAAGAGGAGACUGGAAUUCCCGGUGUAGCGGUGAAAUGUGUAGAGAUCGGGAGGAACACCGGUGGCGAAGGCGGGUCUCUGGGCAAUUCCUGACGCUGAGGCGCGAAAGCGUGGGGAGCAAACGGG